rnacentral:rRNA from 11 species
UCUAAUGGCCUAUAUUCUCUAAAGGUGCCAGAUCUCAUCUGAUCUUGGACGUUAUGCAGGAUCAUCCCUGGUUUGUAAUGGGGAAGGAUUUUGCCAAUGAAUGCUAGGUGAUGUAGGAU